GUUUUCUGACCUCAAAAUGGUUUUGGGGUCUGAAAAAGGCAGACUUGGGCCCUGAAAAUUGGGGAUUUUGACUGAAAAAAGAGACUUCUAAGGCCUGCAGCAAGGCUUUGUGUCCUUAAACAGGAAGGGGGAUUACUAAAAGAGACCCCCCAAAAAAGGCUUUUUAACCCCAAAAUGAGACUGACUUCAAAACAGGGUUUGGGGCUGAAAAGGGCAGUUUUGGGCCCUCAAAAUGGGGGGGGGGGGCUGGAGUGUGUGUGGGUGCACGCUGGGCCCUCUCCCAACCCCUCCCAUUCUCCCAGUUCCCUCCAGUCCCUCCCAGUGCUCCCAGUUGCCCCCCACCCAUGAUUUUGGGGUCCCCCCCUUCAAUCCGGGGGGGGCCACAAGCAGCUCAGCUUCCAAUGUGUUUAUUCCUCCGUUGCCCCAUUCUGGGGUCCCCCCCCAAAAAUUUGGGGACCCCCCCCCAAUAGGGGGCAUCCCAGAUGUCCCCUUUUAGGGCAACUGGGGGGGGGGCACCCCAUUUUUGUUGCUUUCGGGGCCUCUGUGGGUUUUUGGGGUGGCUCAAUUUGGGGGGGGGCACUGCCAGUCUCCUGGGAUCCCCCCUUCUUUUUUGGGGGGAUCCUGGUUUCGGGGGGAUUCCUGCUUUUUUGGGGUGUCCCCAUGAUGGCUUGGUUUCGGGGUGUCCCCGUUUUGGGGUGCCCCACUUCUGGGGUGCUCCAGUUUUGGGGAUUCUUCUUGGUGAAGGAUGGGGGGGGGUCCAAAAUGCCCCAGUUUUUUGGGGGUGCCAGUUUUUGGGGUGCCCCGUUUUCAGGGUGCCACAGUUUUGGGGUCGCUCCAUUUCAGGGCGCCACUCUUUCGGGGUGCCGCUCCUUUGGGGUUCUUCUCUGUGAAGGGGGGGGGGCAAAAUGCUCCAGUUUCGGGGUGCCACAGUUUUUGGGGUGCCACAGUUUUUGGGGUGCCACAGUUUUUGGGGUGUCCCCGUUUUUGGGGGUGCCAGUUCUGGGGUUCUUCUUGGUGAAGGGGGAUCCCAAACCGCUCCGGUUUCGGGGCGCCCCCGCUGCCGUCUCCUCCUCUCUCGCCGCGUCG
rnacentral:lncRNA from 1 species